GUCCUGGUUCUUGGCUUACGUAUAAUAUAUAGAUGGAACCAUUGCAUAUGAAGUUCUCAGACUCCCACAGAUCUGAGUUGAACUUUGAAACUUUAAAAUACUAGAAAGAAGACGCUAUGGGCGAGAACAUUCCUAUAAUUCAGGAAAAUGUAAUUCCUUUGAAUAGCAUCGCACUUGCUUGCUUUCAUCCUCAGUUAUCCUGACAUCCUUGGUAGGCAGGAUGUGACUAAUGCAAUGCACGGAAUCACACUUCUUAAUGGCAUUUUCGGACUGGCAGCGGCAGUACCAGCUCUCAGGUGCAAUUGGAAUGGAAAUUCUGCUAAUUGGGUCUUGAAGCUAACACCUCUCUUGGAUAAAGCGAGAUCUUCGAAAACUAUGAGAAAUAAAAUUAUCCGCUUCUACCUGUAUCAAUGAAUCAAAAUGAAAAGUACACAGCUUGCUGUACAAGAAACUACAUGGUUGACUGGAAGAAGAGCUUUCACAUGACUGAGUUCUGAGCUGAGCUGGCCACUUUUAUCAUGGGAUAUCAUUUUUACUUCAAAGAACAACUGACAAACUACUAUUAAUCAGACUUGGGUAUUUGGAAGACAUUUCAUUUUUUUGAAAUAUGAGUGAAGUGAACUUGUGGCUACAGUGAAAGCAACUGACAGUAUUUGCUGCUACUGGAAAUAUCUGAGCUUUCAAGAGAAAAUUAGAAUUUUGGAAAACUUUAUUUGCCACCAUGACCGUGACAGCUUCUCAAUAUUUGAAGACUCUUUGGAUGAGACUGGUGGUGAUUUUAAUGAUUGUGAGUUUUUUUAAUGAAAUAUAUCAACAUUCGGAAAAUCUGCCUAACUUAGUAAUCAAUACAAAUGAUACAGGACAUUAAAAUGCAUGAAUGGUUGUAAAAGAUGCAUUUAAAGUAUAAGAUAAAGAGAUUUUAAGUAACAGAGUACAAAAAGCUCAUUCCUAUUGUUUUAGAUCCACCAUUACAACUUAAGUUUAAAAAAACUAUUAUUUGUCAAGUUUUGACAUAGUAUCACAGAAGACUAUCUAAAAAGACUAUUAAAAUACUUCUCUAUUUCCCAAUUAUGUAUCUGUUUGAAGCCAGAUUUUCUUUAUAUACUUCAAUCAAAACAAUAGAAUGAUGAAGCAGCUAUGAGAAUCCAACUGUCUUAUAUUAAGCCAGAUAGUGGAGAUUUGCAAAAAUGGAAAACAAUGCCACAUUUCACAAAAAUGGUGACAAGUCCUUGCGUUUAUUAUUAUUUUAAAUUAAUUAAUAAAUAUUCUAAAACUUUUUUGGUCAGCUUUUAUUUCUAAUAUGGUCUAUUGAUAGAUAUAACCCAUAUAAACACGUUUUUUGAAGUCCUCAACAAUUUUUAAGAGCGUAUAGAGGGACUUCACACCAAAAAGUUUGAGAACCAUUUACACAGAGAAGUAUGAAGGUACUGAAUCCUUCUUCUGGAAACUUGGUCUCUCAGACAGGUGAACACUUGUUCUGUGUUGUGGGAAGGAGGUUAGCAAGAGCAUGCUGCAGACUCACGUUGACUCAGGUCAAGCUCCUACCUCUGAAGUUCUUCGCUAUGUUGUCUUGGAUAGUUGAAACCAUAACAAGCGUAGGUUGGAGAAGUAUGUCUUAGGAUGUCAAAACCUGAAACAUCUGUCAUCUUCUGAUCCAAACAGCUUAUGUUUAAAAUAGAAAGGUAAAAUUGAAAUUGACAAUCGUAUGUUAUUCAAUUGGUUGAAACAAGCUAUAGCUUGUUGGUGAAACUGAAUCUCCCGUCUCCAAAUAUGAUGCUUAUUAAUCAAUACUAGAUGGCUAGUAGCCGUAAUUCAGGCCUGGAAUCCAGAAAGGAAUUUUGGUUAAACGUAAAGGUUUGGGGUGUAUUCAUGGGCACAUAGAAUAAUUCAAUCUAUGAGAGACAGUGAGGGGACAGUAGGAAGCUGAAGUAGGUCAAACAAAUGAGCCCAGGAUGAAACUCCAGUUAAUGCCUAUCAAGAAUAAUAUAACAAAUAGAAAACCAGGAGAAGGGUACUAAUGUUUUUGAAUAGCGACAAUGGUUAAAUUAGGAAACGCUAAGUUACAUUAGGAAGCUCUACCUAAGAGUAGAGCUUAGGCACUCUACUAAUCUCCUAACAUAGUUUCACACGUUCUAUCAUCAUAACAACUUUGUAAAGCAGGUAUUUUCUCCAUUUAUCAACUAGGAAAUAAAGGUCUAGAGAGGUAAAAUAUGCUUCCAGGAACACACAAACAAUCCCUCAUCAAAGGUGGGAUUUGAAUUUAUUCAAUCUCUUAUUCUGGAUGCCCUGCCUAAGAAAAUCUGAUUGAUACAGUAUUCUGCUUCACCCCUGAAUUUAAAUGUAAACUUUCAC
ensembl:lncRNA